GUUGAACGCUAGCGAUAGGCCUAACACAUGCAAGUCGAGCGGCAGCACAAGGUAGCUUGCUAUCUGGGUGGCCACCGGCGCACGGGUGCGUAACGCGUAUGCCACUUGCUCUAUACAGGAGGAUAACCCGGCGAAAUACGAACGAAUACUGCGUAUGCUCGCAACUUGGCAUCAAGUGGAGAGGACACAAUUUCGGUAUAGUAUAGGCAUGGGUCGCAUUGGCUUGUUGGUGGGGUAACGGCUCAACAAGGCGACGCUGGGUAGCGGGUCUGAGAUGUUGAUCAGACACACUGGAACUGAGACACGGUCCAGACGAGUAUGGGAGGCAGCAGUGGGGAAUAGUGGACAAUGGGCGAAAGGCUGAUCUAGCCAUGCCGAGUGUGGGAAAAAGGUCUUCGGAUUUUAAAGCACUUCAAGUUGGGAGGAAGGGUAGUAAGUGAAUACUGUGCUGUCUUGACGUUACCAAAAGAAUAAGCACCGGCUAACUUCGUG
rnacentral:rRNA from 1 species